CGCCGCCGCCAUGCGCUCUUCGCUAGGUGGCAGCGCCCGCCCGCGCUGAGGGCAGGCCGCGCCGGCCCGCGGCGCCGGCGGCCCCUGCCCUCCCCUCCCCUCCCCUCCCCUCCCCUGGCAGCUCCGGCCCCAGGAAGCGCCGGGGAGGCCCGGCAGCUCCGCGGCGCGGCAGGUCUGUGCCUGCGGCCCAAGCGGGAGAGGCCGGGGCGCCCGAGGACUCCGCUCCCCGGGCCUGAGGGACCGGUCUCCGGCUGCGAGCCCGACGCUAGCGGUUUCGCCUAAUGCUAGUCACACAGCUGGAAUUCUUCAGGAAGCGAGAUAUCUCCUCUGUGGAAGUGGAUAUUGCCAUCCCAUUAUUUCUGAGUAUUUCUGUUAGCAUGCUGUUCCUGUACUUCACCAGUGGCCUUAUCGAAGCAUCUCCAGCGUGCUUUUGAAACAUCGCUAUCAUCUGGUCCGUAAGUCGUGACGUGUCGCUACGUCCUUGAAAUGUAUCCUCAGUGAAGGUUUUAAUGCUUUUUUAAAAGCUUUCAUCUCGGAAGUACUUUUAUUAAGUCAACGAGAAUGCUGCUGUGUUUAAAUAUCUCUUGAACUCGCAGCCAGGGCACCCAUCCUGCUUUCUUUUUAAUACUUCUGAUCUGCACAUUUACACGCAACCGUCCAGGAGUCUUCACUGACUGCGCGUAAAGGGAGCGAGGCUGCAGCGGGUGAUGUUUGAAGCAUGUGUGCAGUUCAAAAUCUGAUCAAGAAAAUAUUCCAGGAUAAACUUAACUUUCUACUUUUCUGUAUGAUCACCCUGACCACCUGCAACACCCUGAGGCCCCGUGCCACCAAUGUGGAUGCUCAGGGACAAAAGCGGAGUCUUGCAGACCUUGUAGCACCAGGAGAUUCCAGGGAUUUGGGAGCAGCCAUCAUAACCAUAGCAGUGUACUGCCAGCUCUUCCAUGACUGCAUGCUGCUAAGUGUGUUGUAGUUAUCUACUGCCAUCAUCAUAUUUAUCUAAGAGUUAUCUUACAGUUGAAUGCUGCUAAACCAUAACUGUGACCACUAUUGUCAUGCUUGCAUUACUGUAUUUAUAUAUUACAGUUGUAUAAACUAUCACACUGCACAUGCUAUUAAACAUCAUUAUAUAGA